AAAGGUUGCAAGCGUUAAUCGGGAAUUACUGGGCGUAAAGGGUGCGUAGGCGGUUAGUUAAGUCUGUUGUGAAAUCCCCGGGCUCAACCUGGGAAUGGCAAUGGAUACUGGCUAGCUAGAGUGUGUCAGAGGAUGGUGGAAUUUCCGGUGUAGCGGUGAAAUGCGUAGAGAUCGGGAGGAACAUCAGUGGCGAAGGCGGCCAUCUGGGACAACACUGACGCUGAAGCACGAAAGCGUGGGGAGCAGACAGGAUUAGAUACCCUGGUAGUCCACGCCCUAAACGAUGCGAACUGGAUGUUGGUCUCAACUCGGAGAUCAGUGUCGAAGCUAACGCGUUAAGUUCGCCGCCUGGGGAGUACGGUCGCAAGACUGAAACUCAAAGGAAUUGACGGGGGCCCGCACAAGCGGUGGAGUAUGUGGUUUAAUUCGAUGCAACGCGAAGAACCUUACCUGGCCUUGACAUGUCCGGAAUCCUGCAGAGAUGCGGGAGUGCCUUCGGGAAUCGGAACACAGGUGCUGCAUGGCUGUCGUCAGCUCGUGUCGUGAGAUGUUGGGUUAAGUCCCGCAACGAGCGCAACCCUUGUCCUUAGUUGCCAGCACGUAAUGGUGGGAACUCUAAGGAGACUGCCGGUGACAAACCGGAGGAAGGUGGGGAUGACGUCAAGUCAUCAUGGCCCUUACGGCCAGGGCUACACACGUACUACAAUGGUCGGUACAGAGGGUUGCGAUACCGCGAGGUGGAGCCAAUCCCAGAAAGCCGAUCCCAGUCCGGAUCGAAGUCUGCAACUCGACUUCGUGAAGUCGGAAUCGCUAGUAAUCGCGGAUCAGCUAUGCCGCGGUGAAUACGUUCCCGGGCCUUGUACACACCGCCCGUCACACCAUGGGAGUGAGUUGCUCCAGAAGCCGUUAGUCUAACCGCAAGGGGGACGACGACCACGGAGUGGUUCAUGACUGGGGUGAAGUCGUAACAAGGUAACC
rnacentral:rRNA from 1 species